rnacentral:rRNA from 1 species
UACGGAGGGGGCUAGCGUUGUUCGGAAUUACUGGGCGUAAAGCGCACGUAGGCGGCUUUGUAAGUUAGAGGUGAAAGCCCGGGGCUCAACUCCGGAAUUGCCUUUAAGACUGCAUCGCUAGAAUUGUGGAGAGGUAAGUGGAAUUCCGAGUGUAGAGGUGAAAUUCGUAGAUAUUCGGAAGAACACCAGUGGCGAAGGCGGCUUGCCAGAACGCGCUCGACGGUGAGGGAUGAAAGCUGGGGGAGCAAACCGG